rnacentral:rRNA from 1 species
GAUGAACGCUGGCGGCGUGCCUAAUACAUGCAAGUCGAGCGAACAGACGAGGAGCUUGCUCCUCUGACGAUAGCGGCGGACGGGUGAGUAACACGUGGAUAAUCUACCUAUAAGACUGGGACAACUUCGGGAAACGGGUGCUAAUACCGGAUAACAUCUUUAACCGUAUGGUUCAAUAGUGAAAGACGCAUUUGCUGCACUUAAUAGAUGGCCCCGCGUCGCUUAAGUUAGUGGGUAAGGUAACGGCUUACCAAGGGAACGAAGCGUAGCGGACCGGGGAGGGUAGUCGGCCACAUGGGACCGGGGAAAGGGUCCAGAUUCUUAGGGAGGGAGGCAGAGGGGAAUCUCCGGAAUGGGGCAAAAGCUUGACGGAGCAACGCGGGGUGAGGAAGGAGGGUUUCCGAUUGUAAAAACCCGGUGAUAGGGAAAAAAGAAGUGGGGAGUGAACUAUGCACGUCUUGACGGUACCUAAUCAGAAAGGCACGGCUAACUACGUA